AGAGAGAGACAUGCGCGCAUAUCAAUAAGCGGAGGAAAAGAAACUAACAAGGAUUCCCUUAGUAACGGCGAGUGAAGCGGGAAGAGCUCAAAUUUGAAAUCUUCAAGGUUUUACCUUGGCGAAUUGUAGUUUAAAGAAGUGUUUUCUGCUGAAGUUUUGGUAAAAGUUCUUUGGAAUAGGACAUCAUAGAGGGUGAGAAUCCCGUAUUUGACCAUUAUUUUCAGCUGUGUGAUACACUUUCAAAGAGUCGGAUUGUUUGGGAAUGCAGUCCAAAAUGGGUGGUAAAUUUCAUCUAAAGCUAAAUAUUGGCGAGAGACCGAUAGCGAACAAGUACCGUGAGGGAAAGAUGAAAAGAACUUUGAAAAGAGAGUUAAACAGUACGUGAAAUUGUCAAAAGGGAAGCGUUGGACACCAGUGUUGUUUUCUCGAAAAUCAAUUAAAAAUGGCUCGAUUUUGUAUUGCUUGAGACCUUAAAAGCUCACUGUACAUUUUUCGUGUCUUUUUUAAUGCACUUUUCGUUUAACAAGUCAACAUCAGUUUCUUUUGUUGUAAAAGGGUCAUUGGAAGGUGGCUUUCCUUUCGGAGAAAGUGUUUAUAGCCUUUGGCCUCUGCAAUCGGAGAGACUGAGGUCUGCAGCGUAGACUCUUCGGGGUUAGAUACAUUUGUGCUAAGUUAUAGCUUUUUAUAGACAACUUGUUGACUAUAAUUAGUCUUGUAGCUUACUCGCUUAUGCUAUUUUACCUACGCUUAGGAUGUUGAGUCGUAGAGCACGCAG
rnacentral:rRNA from 1 species